CCUACGGGUGGCAGCAGUGAGGAAUAUUUGGCAAUGGGGGCAACCCUGACCCAGCCAUGCCGCGUGAGUGAAGCAGGUCUUCGGAUUGUAAACCUCUUUCGGACGUGACGAUUAUGACGGUAUCGUCUAAAGAAGCACCGGCAAACUUCGUGCCAGCAGCCGCGGUAAUACGAAGGGUUCGAGCGUUGUUCGGAAUUACUGGUCGUAAAGGGAGUGUAGGCGGGUAUGUAAGAUAGAGGUGAAAUGCCGGGGCUCAACCCCGGAACUGCCAUUAUGACUAUGUAUCUAGAGUAAUGGAGAGGAUAGCGGAAUACCCAGUGUAGAGGUGAAAUUCGUAGAUAUUGGGUAGAACACCGGUGGCGAAGGCGGCCAUCUGGCCAUUUACUGACGGUGAGGCUCGAAAGCAUGGGGAUCAAACAGGAUUAGAUACCCUUGUAGUC
rnacentral:rRNA from 1 species